AUCAGAGCACAGCAGGCUCAGAAAAAAGAAGCUGCAGGGACUGAGCAGAUCAGUUUCUGGCUGGGACCAGAAGUGUGAGGAAGUCCUGGAAGGCUGUGAAACUCUCCAGGUGAAGAGGAAGGGGCUACAUGGGAACCAGUCCAGGGAAUAGCAGCAGCACCUAUUAAAGGAAGCAGCACCUGGCUGCUAUUUGUAGGGUGCAUGGGUUGGAACCCAGAGUAGUGGAUGGGCCCGGGUUCCCUCCAUCGGCCAUUAGCAAAGUGGCCAAAGUCCUGAGAAGGGAACAAGUUUCAUUUAGAAGCCUAAGCACAAGGCUGGAAUGUAAAGGGCUCAAGGAUGGGGCUGAAGACCUUGUUGAACUUCCAUCCAACACAAUAAAGGGCAGGUGGGCCAACAGCAUCUCCAAGUCCUUCUCCACUGUGAAUGGGACAGAUCUGAAGCAGAGGGGAAAGACAGUGGAAAGUGGAAUAUAGAUAGGGACCAAACAUCUCAAAGAACCUCCAAUUACAGGUAAAAGGUCAAGGCUCAUUUAACAUUGAUGGACUGGAGUCUAUGUUCUUCUGCAGACACAUGCUGUUUUGGAAAGAAAAUAGCUGGAAACAAGCAGCAGAGCCAGUACCAUGCAACCAGCCAGCUCUCCCCACACCACCAGGAAGUGCUCCAUGAACCACCAGUAAUUCAAGAACCACAGUUUGGGAACUUCUGCUUUAGAACUUUUACAGAGCUUGCUGAAAAGGAGGCAUCAACAUGGCUAACAAAGUUUGACAGCACUGGCUGGAAAGCACAUUCCUUUAUUAGCCUCUGCCAGUGGCAUUCCAACUGGAACUUCAAGCUGCCCUUGCCUGUUCAAAAACCAGAGCAGGGGGACAGGCAGGGGUAACACUGCCUGGCCUAUCUUAAGAUGAAUCAACCUCAGAUGCAGAUGUCAAAAUUGGCACAGAGAGAAGUAAUUUUUUUAUUUUUUGCACCAGUCUGGCUCAAUCUAGCCCUGUAUAUUUUUAAUAUUUAAUAAACAUUCAAAGAUAAAACCCCUACAGGUUUGAGAAAUGUAUACUGAUUACCCACAACAUUCAACAAACAAAAAAUAAGGGAAAAGAAUAUCAGAUUUGGACAUCUGGUUAAAGAGAGGGACUUGGCCCACAACAUUUCUUCAGAAAAUGUGUUUGUUGACAGUUCUGCUGGAGAGUUAGUGAUUAGAUGGGGGGAAAAAAUUGAUUGUUUAGCUUGUUUAUAAUGGGUUCUAUUAGAGUUUUGUUAUGAAUGGGUUAUUAUCCUUCAUAGGUUUCAGAGUAACA